UAUGUCAUAGGAUAAAGAAUUGUUGUUAUAUACUAUGAUUUACUUUUAUGUUUGCAUGGACAUGAAAGGACAUUGAAUCCAUGAUAAAAAUAAGUUAUUGAAUGAUAGUACUCGUAUAAUUUAUUUUGAAAAUUGCGUACUGUCUAAACAUGUAGACUGAUAUACGCCUACACACUGCACGGGGGUUCGAAUCCCCCCACCUCCACUG
rnacentral:tmRNA from 1 species